rnacentral:rRNA from 1 species
ACCAGACUCCUACGGGAGGCAGCAGUGGGGGAUAUUGCACAAUGGGGGGAACCCUGAUGCAGCGACGCCGCGUGGGUGAAGGAGCGUUUCGGCGCGUAAAGCCCUAUCGGCAGGGAAGAAGGAGGACGGUACCUGACUAAGAAGCCCCGGCUAACUACGUGCCAGCAGCCGCGGUAAUACGUAGGGGGCAAGCGUUAUCCGGAUUUACUGGGUGUAAAGGGAGCGUAGACGGCAGUGCAAGUCCGGAGUGAAAGCCCGGGGCUCAACCCUGGGACUGCUCUGGAAACUGUAAAGCUGGAGUGCGGGAGGGGCAGGCGGAAUUCCUGGUGUAGCGGUGAAAUGCGUAGAUAUCAGGAGGAACACCGGCGGCGAAGGCGGCCUGCUGGACCGUAACUGACGUUGAGGCUCGAAAGCGUGGGGAGCAAACAGGAUUAGAUACCCCUGUA